rfam:Eubacterium nodatum ATCC 33099 contig00012, whole genome shotgun sequence.
GAGAUGGCAUUUACAGGUAAAGCUAUACUCUGUUAUAUACACUUUUUAUAAAAAUUUAUGAGCUUAUAUUGUAACCGAAUGAGACUCUAGU